UUCAAAAAAAAAAGGGAUGCCAUCGAAGUACCUCUGAUAUGGUCUAGAUUCCUUCCUCUAAUUUACUCUGUUUCCAUUCUUGCUCUGCUGCUAUUUCAUUUGUUACCCUAUUCUCGUUUUAUUUUAUUUCAGCCCCUAUAGCUAUGAUUAUUGAUAAUGUUACUGCUGGUUCUAAAGUCGCUGUUGUCAUUGGAGUUACAUGAUUGGAGGAAACCGUCACUAAUGGAACUGCUACUGACAUGGCCGUCGUGCCUCUACCGCCAAGAAACGCCUAGCCGCAGCCGUCAAAGCCAGCCUCGUCGUUGUUGUCGUAGUUGCAGAUUUGGAGCUUCGAAGAGAGAGGAGUUCCCGGAGAGAGAGAAAUGCCAAGGAGGAGGGACCAUCCGCUGCUGCGUUGUUCCUGUCGCCGUUCGGAUGUACCUAAGCCAAGCCAUCGUCCUUGCCGCCGGAGUUGUUGGUGUUUCUAGAGCUGAACUGCUCCUAUCAUUAUCCCGAUUCUCAGAACUAUCGCCAGCUCCAUCUUGUCGCUACUCCGGUCCAAAUUCUGCGCAGUUUCGUACCCUUUAAUUCGACACUCCGGGUUUGGUCUCUUCGGUCCGUUAGGACCAUGCUGAGUAAAUAUUUGAUUAUGUGAGCCUUUCGAUUCAAGAGUAAUGAUCUGCAAUGGGUAUCUGUUCUUUGUUGAGUUCUUAGACGUCAUCUGCUCCAUAUGUCACAGGCAGGAUCCAUCCAUAUUUAUUUUAUUUUUGUUUUUUUAAUAUGUAAUUAUUCAUUUUAGAAACUGUAAAUUUAUUUAAGAUAUUUGUAAUUUUUUUUAUUCAACUUAUAUUUGAGUCGGUUAGGCUUUCUUAGGAAUUAUUUUCCUAUGCGCCAGUCAUGGCUUAUUUUCGGCCGUGACAUAAAUAAAGUAAAAGCAAAUUAAGUAAGUAAACAAAAUAUGAUGAAGACCUUAGGACUGUGUUGCAUCUGCAUGUUUUAUAAGCAGUUAGUGAGGCAGCUAGUUCAAGGUGAUGGGACAAUCAUAUAUUCAUAGUCAUCAAAUAAAGCCUUUCAUUAGAAACAUGUGUUAAGUAGAUUUCUUAUGUAGUUGUCCUUCUCUUCUUUCAUUAUUUUAGACUAAUCAUUAUGUUCUGAUGCGUAU